rnacentral:rRNA from 1 species
UACGGACUGUGCAAACGUUAUUCGGAAUCACUGGGCUUAAAGAGUCCGUAGGCGGCCUGUUAGGUGAGGUGUGAAAUCCCCCGGCUCAACCGAGGAAUUGCGCUUCAAACCGGCGUGCUAGAGGAAGAUAGAGGUGGGCGGAACUGAUGGUGGAGCGGUGAAAUGCGUUGAUAUCAUCAGGAACACCGGAGGCGAAGGCGGCCCACUGGGUCUUUUCUGACGCUGAGGGACGAAAGCUAGGGGAGCGAACGGG